rnacentral:rRNA from 1 species
CCCUUAGAUGUUCUGGGCCGCACGCGCGCUACACUGACGAAGUCAGCGAGCAUGUCCUACGCCGACAGGUGCGGGGAAUCUUGUCAAACUUCGUCGUGAUGGGGAUUGAUUAUUGAAAUUCUUGAUCAUCAACGAGGAAUUCCUAGUAAGCGCAAGUCAGCAGCUUGCGUUGAUUACGUCCCUGCCCUUUGUACACACCGCCCGUCGCUACUACCGAUUGAAUGGUUUAGUGAGAUUUCGGAUUGGCGCCACUGCGGCUCAGCAACGGGCUCGGUGGAUGCCGAAAAGUUGAUCAAACUUGAUCAUUUAGAGGAAGUAAAAGUCGUAACA